rnacentral:rRNA from 1 species
UGCUUGCACUAAAUGAAACUAGAUACAAGCGAGCGGCGGACGGGUGAGUAACACGUGGGUAACCUGCCCAAGAGACUGGGAUAACACCUGGAAACAGAUGCUAAUACCGGAUAACAACACUAGACGCAUGUCUAGAGUUUGAAAGAUGGUUCUGCUAUCACUCUUGGAUGGACCUGCGGUGCAUUAGCUAGUUGGUAAGGUAAUGGCUUACCAAGGCGAUGAUGCAUAGCCGAGUUGAGAGACUGAUCGGCCACAUUGGGACUGAGACACGGCCCAAACUCCUACGGGAGGCAGCAGUAGGGAAUCUUCCACAAUGGACGAAAGUCUGAUGGAGCAACGCCGCGUGAGUGAAGAAGGGUUUCGGCUCGUAAAGCUCUGUUGGUAGUGAAGAAAGAUAGAGGUAGUAACUGGCCUUUAUUUGACGGUAAUUACUUAGAAAGUCACGGCUAACUACGUGCCAGCAGCCGCGGUAAUACGUAGGUGGCAAGCGUUGUCCGGAUUUAUUGGGCGUAAAGCGAGUGCAGGCGGUUCAAUAAGUCUGAUGUGAAAGCCUUCGGCUCAACCGGAGAAUUGCAUCAGAAACUGUUGAACUUGAGUGCAGAAGAGGAGAGUGGAACUCCAUGUGUAGCGGUGGAAUGCGUAGAUAUAUGGAAGAACACCAGUGGCGAAGGCGGCUCUCUGGUCUGCAACUGACGCUGAGGCUC